UAGGGAAUAUUCCGCAAUGGACGAAAGUCUGACGGAGCGACGCCGCGUGGAUGAAGAAGGCCUAAAGGUUGUAAAAUCCUUUUGCUGAGGAAGAAUAAGUGUGGGAGGGAAUGCCCGCAUGAUGACAUGAAUCGGCGAAUAAGCCCCGGCCAACUACGUGCCAGCAGCCGCGGUAACACGUAGGGGGCGAGCGUUGUUCGGAAUUACUGGGCGUAAAGGGCAUGUAGGCGGUUAUGUAAGCCUGGCGUGAAAGUCCACAGCUUAACUGUGGGAUUGCGUUGGGAACUAGAUGACUAGAGUUACGGAGAGGGAGCUAGAAUUCCUGGUGUAGGGGUGGAAUCUGUAGAGAUCAGGAAGAAUACCGAUGGCGAAGGCAAGCCCCUGGCCGAUGACUGACGCUGAGGUGCGAAAGUGUGGGGAUCAAACA
rnacentral:rRNA from 1 species